UGAUAGGAGUACAUAGAGCCAUAGAAAGGUGUGGUACCUGGAAAAGCACUGCAUUAUGGUCAGAGACCACAAAAUCUACUAAAGACAAAUCAUCUCACAGAAGCCAUGGGAUGGCUGCAUUCGCCCGUUGCCUCGGCCUCAGGCUGGACUCUGAUUCAAGGUUGACGGCUCAUCAAGUCGAGUGACAAGCAUUGGGGGCGGGAACUCGAACAAAUGAGAGGGAGGAAGAAAGUGGAUGGAUGGAUGGAGGUGGAAGCGGCAAUGGUGGCAGCAGCGGCAGCAGGGAGAAAACAGCCUGAAGCGUGAAUUCUCCAGCAGCGGGCGUGCAGAGGAAAACGGAAGCUGGGGAGACAGUGUGUCCGCUUUUGCUGGGGGAGAGAGACUGUACAAACAUGGUUCAAGCACACACACACACACACACACACACACACACACACACAAGCUAAGGCCCUUACCUCCAGAGGUUGUGCAUCAGGGGGGGAUAUGGGACCAGGAGGGGUGUCAGAGGAGGACCAAAGUUUGGUGUGUGUGUGUGUAUGCGUGUGUGUGCGUGUGUUGCCAGGGGACUGUGGCUCUCCUGAAAGAGGAAAAGACAUACAGACAAACAGA